UGGUUUCUUGAGUUUAUCUCCACAGUCAGAAAAAGGCUGAUGGCUGCGAUUCCUACAAAGUGGAGACCAAAAUGGGGAGAUAGGAGUCCUCACUGAGCGGUGUGAGAGCCCUGAGAAAGUUGGGGACCCAUAAAAGAAUGUAGCUGUAUUUGCAAGUGAGAGAAGACAGGCUUUAAUCUCGGAUUAAAGACAGGAGAGACAGUGAGAGAAGACAGGCUUUAAUCUCGGAUUAAAGACAGGAGAGACAGUGAGAGAAGACAGGCUUUAAUCCCUGUCUCUUACUAGUUCACUCUGUACAGUGGCCUCUUUGGCUUCUGGUUAGGGUGAAGUCACCCGUAUGGAACCCUUUCACAUUCAUUCCCAGUACUAUAGCCCUGGGUUUACUUACCAAAUUUCUAACUCCGACUGUACUCUUUUUUUUCUUCUCUUCUUACUCCAUUUCUCAUUUUUUCCCUUGUCUUACAUAACCUUCUUUCUCUCCACCAUCAGGAAGAAGAGGAGUUUACAUUGGCUGCGUCCUCACCACCUGCCUCUCCUCCAUCCACUCCUCAAAUGUCAGGGCAGUCCACAAACACAGACACACUUCCUGCCCAGCACUGUUUACAAGAGGCCAUUACUAGGAAAGAUGAGUCUGAGGAAUGGGAGAGUCUUACCACAUCCAAAUGGCUGUCUGCCUGCAAGAACUGGAAGAAUUAAGGAAAUAGGAAAACAGAGACUGUGGGAGUUGGGGGGACAGAUAUGAAGAUGAAGCUGAGGAAAACCCCAACAGGAGGAGAUCUCAAAACCAAAUCACACAUUUUCAUCGGACACAACAUCUUUGUUUGUAUGUGGUGCUGAGGAUCGAACCCGGGCUGCACACAUGCCAGGCGAGCACGCUACCGGUUGAGCCACAUCCCCAGCCCAGUUUUUAUUUCUUUUUAUUUUAUUUAUUUAUUUUGUUUUUCCCCUUCUUAAAUAAAUAAAUUCAAACA